GAUGAAGAACGUAGCGAAAUGCGAUACGUAAUGUGAAUUGCAGAAUUCAGUGAAUCAUCGAAUCUUUGAACGCAUAUUGCGCUCUCUGGUAUUCCGGAGAGCAUGCUUGUUUGAGUAUCAGUAAACACCUCAACUUCCAUAUCUUUUUUGAAAUGGGAGUUGGACUUGAGUGAUCCCAACGCUUUUCCUCACCGAAAAGUGGCGGGUUACUUGAAAUGCAGGUGCAGCUGGACUUUUCUCUGAGCUAUAAGCAUAUCUAUUUAGUCUGCCUAAAAAAGAGAUUAUUACCUUUGCUGCAGCUAACAUAAAGGAGAUUAGUUCUUGUGCUGACUGAUGCAGGAUUCACAAAGACGGCUUCGGCCGACUUUGUAAACUCGAUCUCAAAUCAAGUAAGACUACCCGCUGAACUUAAGCAUAUCAAUAAGCGGAGGA
rnacentral:misc_RNA from 1 species